rnacentral:rRNA from 1 species
UUGAUCCUGGCUCAGAAUCAACGCUGGCGGCGUGCCUAACACAUGCAAGUCGAACGAGAAAGUGGAGCAAUCCAUGAGUAAAGUGGCGACCGGGUGAGUUACACGUGACUAACCUACCUUCGAGUGGGGGAUAACCUCGGGAAACCGGGUCUAAUACCGCAUAAAAUCUUUGGGAUGAGAAGCCGAAGAUCAAAGGGGCUAUUCGCUUGAAGAGGGGGUCGCGGCUGAUUAGCUAGUUGGUGGGGUAACUGCCCACCAAGGCUUUGAUCGGUAGCCGGCCUGAGAGGGCGCACGGCCACUCUGGAACUGAAACACGGUCCAGACUCCUACGGGAGGCAGCAGUGGGGAAUUUUGCGCAAUGGGGGAAACCCUGACGCAGCAACGCCGCGUGGAGGAUGAUGUCCCUUGGGACGUAAACUCCUUUCGACCGGGACGAUAAUGACGGUACCUGUGGAAGAAGCCCCGGCUAACUUCGUGCCAGCAGCCGCGGUAAUAAGGU